GAUUAUACGCCAUGACGUCAUGUUGCGGAAACACCCCCGCAGCCAUAUUGAUUUUUAAAAAAUGCACAAAUUAAUCAGUUCUUAGAAAACUGUUCGUAACUUGAAAGCGCUUCGACUUUUGAUUGUGCAAGUUAGACUAGGAAGAAAGACCAGUCAAAGAUCUACAAGAUGAUGCCCGAAUCGCUUACUAUCUCGAAGGAUUGGCUGUGAUCUGCUUCUGUCAAGCGGUAAGUAGUAGUUACGUAUAAUACUGCUUUGUUACAUGGCUUUUUAGAUUCGCUAGAAGCUUCAUACAGCCUAAUACUUAUUGUAGUAAGUAUAUAGGACGUAGCUGUAGAGUUUGUAGUGCUGAGAAGCGUUGCUUAGCCUUUUUCUGUGCAGCACAAGGUACUGGGUGUGGCUUAUAACCUGAGGCAGCUAUGUGUAAAGAGAAACAGUGACAGUGGUAAAAAGGUGUGACUGGAUCCAAUAAUCAGAGGUGGGGCCACGUAUGUACAGUGAACAGAGGAACAGUGGCAGUAGCAGCGAGAUAUAAAAAAGUGUCUGAUGUCUGUGGCUACUGCUGAUACUUUGCUGUCACACUAUGCACUGCCACUGGGUCCCUUUUGGAGUACCUUGGAGUCGCCUCUGUCAAGAGUAGAAUACACGACAAUGCCAUGUACAGGAAGGUUGACGUUGGUGGUAGGACCUUCACAACAGUGCUCAGCUCAUGCAGUGUCAAUGUCCUAUCCAGAUCUACAUUUUUGAUAAUUUAUUGUUGUAAUUAUUGUUGUACUGUACCGGGUAUUUGAUAAUCUUGUUUUUAUUCUAUACAUUGAGUGAAGCCAUUUUAUUUGUUGCAUU